GGGUGCCGAAAUGCACCCGUUUUGCAUCAUUUUUCGUGCCGGAACCGAAUGCCCAAAAACACUCCCAAACAUGUUCUAGGGUCUAAUUAGGAAGAUUGCAUGCGUUCGUUGCGAAAAAAUCCACCCGAGUUUCGCGACCCAGCAAUAGUGCAUUCGGGUGCCGAAAUGCACCCGUUUUGCAUCGUUUUUCGUGCCGGAACCGAAUGCCCAAAAACAC
rnacentral:lncRNA from 1 species